AUAGCACUUGUUUUACCAUUCUAAAUUAGCAGCAGAAUAAUUAUUCUAUUCUACCCUUUUCCAUUAUACAUCAUCCAUCUCUCUUCUUCUCCUUCAAGCCAAUAACAAAGAAGAUGAAGCAAGAGAACACAAGCUUCUGUAACAGGCACGUGAGAGACCCCUGCAGAUCAUUCGGCCGGAAAUGCAGUAGGCUAGUUAAAGAUCAGAGGGCCAGGUUCUACAUUCUCCGGCGGUGUAUUAUCAUGCUAGUUUGCUGGCAUGAAUACGGUGACCCUUAAAUAUAUAUAUAUACACACACCUCUUCAGCUUUCCUAUAUACUUUCCUUUUUUCUUCUUUAUUAGCCAUUCCCAAUAUGCUUGAUAGUGUAUGUAUUGCUAUACACAUAUGAUGAUGAGAUAGUGAGGAGUUUUUUUCGGAUUAUUUUCUUCUUCUUUUCUUUUUUACUCAUUUUUUAUUUAAUUUUCAUCAAUUUGUAUUCAUAUUUCGUGUCAUAUAAUUUAUUUAAUUAACUGGACAAGUUAGUAAAAAAUCAUCUCUGAAGGCGAAAU
rnacentral:misc_RNA from 1 species